GACAAGGUUCCAGACCCUACGGGGUGCAGCAGGCGCGAAACCUCCGCAAUGUACGAAAGUGCGACGGGGGGAUCCCAAGUGUUAUGCUUUUUUGUAUGACUUUUCAUUAGUGUAAAAAGCUUUUAGAAUAAGAGCUGGGCAAGACCGGUGCCAGCCGCCGCGGUAACACCGGCAGCUCGAGUGGUAGCUGUUUUUAUUGGGCCUAAAGCGUUCGUAGCCGGUUUGAUAAGUCUUUGGUGAAAGCUUGUAGCUUAACUAUAAGAAUUGCUGGAGAUACUAUUAGACUUGAAGUCGGGAGAGGUUAGAGGUACUACCGGGGUAGGGGUGAAAUCCUAUAAUCCUGGGAGGACCACCUGUGGCGAAGGCGUCUAACUGGAACGAUCUUGACGGUGAGUAACGAAAGCCAGGGGCGCGAACCGGAUUAGAUACCCGGGUAGUCCUGGCCGUAAACGAUGUGGACUUGGUGUUGGAAUGGCUUUGAGUUGUUCCGGUGCCGAAGGGAAGCUGUUAAGUCCACCGCCUGGGAAGUACGGUCGCAAGACUGAAACUUAA
rnacentral:rRNA from 1 species